rnacentral:rRNA from 1 species
GACAGAGGGUGCGAGCGUUAAUCGGAGUUACUGGGCGUAAAGGGCACGUAGGCGGUUAUGUUAGUCUGAUGUGAAAUACCUGGGCUUAACCUGGGAUGUGCAUGGGAAACGGCAUAGCUAGAGUAUGGGAGAGGGAAGUGGAAUUUCCGGAGUAGCGGUGAAAUGCGUAGAUAUCGGAAAGAACCCUCGUGGCGAAGGCGACUUUCUGGCCCAAAACUGACGCUGAGGUGCGAAGGCGUGGGGAGCAAACAGG